CCCUUUGGCUCAGUUGGUAGAGCAUGGUGUUUGCAAUGCCAGCAUGGUGUGUGCAAUGCCAGGGUUGUGGGUUCAAUUCCCACGAGGG
rfam:Salmo salar isolate Sally breed double haploid chromosome ssa19, whole genome shotgun sequence.